UAAAUAUGAUCAUGUAAAGAUAACCGUCAACAUUUAUUGGCCGCCUACAAUGUGCCAGAUGCAGGGCUAAGUACUUUGAGUUAUGGCAUUUAGCUCUUAAAAUAGCCCUAUGGAUUGGUACUACUUCUAUCCCAUAGGAAACCGGGGCUCAGAGCAGCUAAGAGCCCUAGUGGGAGCAACCCCGAUGGCGGACAUGAUGCCAGGCCCUCUGGCCGGGGCCAAUGCUUUGGGUGUAGGGCUCAGGAGCCCUGGGGUGUGUGUCAUCUCUUUCAGUAACUGGCUGCGUGACUCUGGCUCACCACAACAUCUUUAAAAAUUCAACAUGGAGGGCUUCCCUGGUGGCGCAGUGGUUGAGAGUCCGCCUGCCGAUGCAGGGGACACGGGUUCGUGCCCCGGUCCGGGAAGAUCCCACAUGCCGCGGAGCGGCUGGGCCCGUGAACCAUGGCCGCUGAGCCUGCACGUCCGGAGCCUGUGCUCUGCAAAGGGAGAGGCCGCAACAGUGAGAGGCUCGUGUACCGCAAAAAAAAAAAAAAAAAAAAAAAUUCAAGAUGGAGAGGAAGUUUGAUCUUUAGUUUGACCUGAUACUGGCAUUUUACAUGUGAUGCUGAAAUAAAGGAAUGCUGUGAUCUA